UACGUAGGGGGCUAGCGUUGUCCGGAUUUAUUGGGCGUAAAGAGCGUGUAGGCGGCCAGGUAGGUCUGGUGUGAAAACUCGAGGCUUAACCUCGAGAUGUCAUCGGAAACCAUCGUGCUAGACGCGAAGAGGAGAGUGGAAUUCCUGGUGUAGCGGUGAAAUGCGCAGAUAUCAGGAAGAACACCAAUGGCGAAAAGCAGCUCUCUGGGACGGUACUGACGCUGAGACGCGAAAGCGUGGGGAGCGAACAGG
rnacentral:rRNA from 1 species